rnacentral:lncRNA from 1 species
AGCCGCCAGUCCGAAGACUAGGUGGGAAGGAUGCAGAAGACAGUCAACAAGGACCAAGGCACUGCUGAGGCAAUUUGGUUGGAGUAGGAGGCUUCCAUUCAACCUCAUUGCAAAUGGAUGGUGGGAUACCCUUCCUGGCAAGAAGCUGAGCAGCUCUGUUGACCUGGGAAGGAAGAGCCCACUGAGGCAUUAGAGUGUCUCCAGGCCUAUGAGCUUAAUGGAGAGAUUGGCAGGGCUGGGGGACAAGGCACCCUCCAGAAGCCCGCCCUCAUGGGAAAGACUGACGACUCUGAGAAAGGUCAUCAGUUAAGUAAGACCAGACGAUGGGUGGGAGUUAAAGUGCAGAGGGAGGGAGAAGGAGGGGCCAGAGUGGGCAAAGGGGAGUGGUCAGGAGAAAUUCUGAAGCUGUACUGUUGAAGCUCCUGUUAUUUUCACGAUUCACAGAAGGCUUCUACUCUGGAAGAUUGGGGCUUAUUUACAUGAAGGAGGAAGGAAAGGACAUGGUAGACCUUGUCCUGGCUAAACUGGGCCCCUGAGGUCCCCACCUGCGCAGGGUCUGCUGCCCCAAGGUGGCUUCUCAGAGGAGAGAUCUGCAUGUCAUGGGCCUUUUUACUCGGAGUAUUUCCAGCCCUGAAGCCCACUCUUCUCCAUGCCUCUGCCACCAAGCUCUGCCUCGGUCUGGAGGCAAUCCAGAGCCAGGUAGGACAAAGGAACCACCAUUCCUUGGGGCUCAUUUCUGGAUCCCGUUUGCUGUGGUUCCAGCCUUGUUCUCAGUCUGAGACUCAUCCAGGACUCAGUUCAGGUCCCGUUAGCCAUUCAGAAUCCAUCUUGAGGGAUUAAUUCUUCCAGGAUUCACAGUCUCUGGUGGACUGGAGGCUCCGCUUCGUGUCAACCUCACUCAGGUAGGCAGGAAGGUUCCUUCUUCAUGCUUCCCUGGGAAGUAGGCCACUGUCCUGCUUUCAACACUUCAGAGCCCCAAGCUUUAGGGUGCCUUCCUUGAAACUGUCUGUGUCCCACUCUGGUGGCUGUGACCAGCAAGGGCUGGCAGGGUUCCCUGAGUCUGGAUCUGCUGCCACAUGGGUCCCAGGUAUUGGAAAUGCAUACCUUGAAAUUUUCUACGUCCCCAUGCAGUACCUGGGAUGGGUGGGGCCAGAGCUGGCAGAGCUAUCUUGGUGGUGUACUCUGAGGACACCUCUGAGAUGAAUGUUGGUCCCAGUCCCUGUUUCCUUUUGUGAGAGUACUUGCUGACCAUCUAUCAAGUUUAUGGGGUCAACCAGAUGCCCUGAGGACCAUCUCACCUCAACCUUGCACCUAUGGGUUCGUGCUGAACCCAGCAGCGAGACCCAGGUUCCAGGAGAGAGGUCUGGAAAGUGGACCGCUCCAGCUGACCACCAUGGUGCUUGUUUUAUGGGCCCUGGGGCACCAGAGUGGUAUGGAAAUGCUGAUUUGGGGUGACUCUUACUCAUGUUAGAUACAGGAUGAAUUCAGGGAUCUAGGCUACUGACAGCCCACUGCUGAUUCUUGCAUUUGACUUGUGUGUGUGGGUCCAUGUACAUCAUGCAUGUUCCAAUCACAGCUGCCACUGGUCUGCGGUACCCAGUGGGGGCAGGAAUGUUGGUGGGGGUUCUCUAUGCUACACACUUCCUCAUCACUGGCUACCAGGUGGUCACUCUAUCCCCUCUGCAGUCUCUAUGACAAGGGUUUGGUAGUUCCAGGAUUUUGUAUUUUUCUUAUCUGUUCUUUGUUCACCUUAUUUUUCUGCCUUCUUUUGGGUUGAGUAUAUUUUAUGAUUCCAUUUUUAUUUCCUUUCUUAUCUUAUUAGCUUUAACUGUUUGUUGUAGUAUUUUGGUAGUUACUUUAGGAUUAAUUUAUAGUAUACAUCUAUAACCUAUCACAUUCUACCUUCAAGUAGAAUAUAUAAACCACUUUGUGGGUAGUAUAAGAACCUUACAGCACUAUAAUACUUUCAUUUUUUCCCUCUUAGCCUUUGCACUUUUGUUGUCAAACAUUUUACUUUUACAUAUGUUAAAACUACCUACUAGAUUGUUACUAUUAUUAUUAUUUUUUUGAGACAGAGUCUCACUCUUGUCCUCUAGGCUGGAGUGCAGUCUCGUGACCUUGACUCACUGCAACCUCCACCUCCCGGGUUCAGGCAGUUCUCCUGCCUCAGCCUCCCGAGUAGCUGGGAUUACAGGGGCCAAUUUUUUCUAUUUUUAGUAGGGAGAGGGUUUCACCAUGUUGGCCAGGCUGGUCUCGAACUCUUGACCUCAGAUGAUCCACCUGCCUCGACCUCCCAAAGUGCUGUGAUUACAGGUGUGAGAUACCAUGCCUGGCCCAUUUUUUACUUUAAAUAAUCAGUAAUCUUUCAUAUAGAUUUAAAUCAUAAGUUUUUUUUUUUUUAAAUGUUUCUCCACAUGGUUGCUAUUUUCAGGGUUCUUUUGUUCUUUGUGUACAUCCAGAUUUCUAUCUGAAAUAAUUUUUCUUCUAUGUGACAAAUAUUCUUUCACCUUUAUUAUAGUGCAGGUCUGCUGAUAAUGGAUUCUUUCAGCAUUUGUAUGUUUAGCAUGUUUUUAUUUUGCCUUCAUUUUUGAGUGACAUUUUCACUGGUUAUGGAAUUCUAGGUUGACUUGUUUUUGUUUUUGUUUACCUUUCAGUACUAUAAAGCUGUUGCUGGCUGGGCGCGGUGGCUCACACCUGUAAUCCCAGCACUUUGGGAGGCUGAGGUGGGUGGAUUGCCUGAGGUCAGGAGUUCGAGACUAGCCUGGCCAACAUGGCAAAACACAGUCUCUACUAAAAACACAAAAAAUUAGCUGGGUAUGGUGGUGUGCACAUGUAAUCCCAGCUACUCGGGAGGCUGAGGCAGGAGAAUUGCUUGAACCUGAAAGGUGGAGGUUUCAGUGAGCCAAGAUCGUGCCACUGCGCUCCAGCCUGGGCAACAAGAGCUAAACUCUGUCUCAAAUAAUAAUGCUAAUAAUAAUAAAUGGAAUAAAGCUGUUGCUCCAUUGUUUUCUGGGUUCCAUUGUUUCUGACUUAAAAAUCCACUGCCACCUUAUCCUUGUUUCUCUUUAUGUGUACAUCUUUAUUUUUCUUAAGCUCUUGUCUUUAUUUUUGGUUUUUAAUAGUAGUGUGCUAUGGUG